rnacentral:tRNA from 1 species
GGGGAUUUAGCUCAGUGGUAGAGUGCUUGCCUAGGAAGCGCAAGGCCCUGGGUUCGGUCCCCAGCUCCCCCC